AGAAAACUAUUCUGCUGGAAAAUUGUUGACCUGCUCUAUUGGCGGCUGAUCAUUCAGCAAUACUGCUGAACGUUGUGCUUUAAAAUAAAUAAAUCAAACAAACCCUAUUCUUCCCAAAUUAGGAGUUUAGUGCUUUUCCUCUUACAUUACAAGCAUAACUUGUCCCUAUUCACCUUCACAUCACUCAUGAUGGCCCAGACCUCUACCUUUUUCCCCUUCAGUCUUGUCCUUUGCAGGUAAAAGCCCUAAACUUAUUUAGCUUUUUCUUCUGCAGAGGCCAGCCCUUACGUCUAACAAUCUCUUUUGCCUUCUCCACACCCUCUGUUGUUCUCCUAUGGUAUUUCUGCAAGGGGCAAUCAGACCUGCAGGCAGGAUUUGAGGUGUGGGGAUUUAGCGCUGGCAUAGCAAUGCUUCUUGUUCUCAGAGCCUUUCUUCACUCUCCCCAUGGCUAUGAGAAUGGUGCCAACACUUGGAGCAGCUGCAAAGGUGCCAGAACAUCUUUCUGUCAAAGAGUACAGCAAAAUUUGACUCUACCUGGGACUGCUCUGGCACCAUGGAGGACAAAUGCGGUUUAUGCAAAACCUUUGAACGCAGUAGCUUCAGGCCCCAUGCAGCCAUCCAGGUGUGAAGUAUGCACAGAGCAGGGAACGUAUUGAAUGUAUGUACGAAGUUGUGGAAAAGGUUCACGAUGCCAUAACCAUCAAGUAUUAAAUCUCAAAAAGAAACAGGCAAAUUCUGCUUCCAACUAAUUCUCAUGUAAACUUGUAGUGUUAGGUAGAUGAUACUCAUUUCUUGGUUUAUGAGCACCAGAGAGGCAUGUCAUAAAAGGGAGAAUGAUAUGAUUAAAAUUAAUGUAAAAUAUCAUAGGAAGCAUAGCUUUCAAGUUUCUUUUGUCCAAUACAGAGACUUCUAGAACCAGCCAGAAUAACAACCUCAGAGCUUAUUGAUUUCCACUGUAAUGACACACAGAAAUUAAUGCUCCUGGACUUUUCAAGAAAACUAGAUUUUUCUUGAAUGACAGAACUGUAAUUGAUCACUAACCAGCUUCAGCAUCGGAACAAACACUUAGCUGAAUCACUCAGCUGCUCCAGGUUCAUUUCUUGGUGUGCUAUCAUCUUAUGCAAUAAACACAAUAAAUGAAAUACGGAAUUACUCUAA
rnacentral:lncRNA from 1 species